rnacentral:lncRNA from 10 species
UUAAAAGAAUUUAACAGGAACAAAAGCUUCGGUCAAACUGUAAUUCAGAUCAUUGUUCUUUCCUAUAAAGGAAAUAAAUUCCUAGAAGGUGGUACUAAAUUUGAGGGAAUGUACGAAGUUGGACUCACUGUGGGUUCUUUAUUUUUUUAUUUAUUAACUUUUAUUUUAGGUUGAGGGGUACAUGUACAGGUUUGUUAUAUAGGUAAAUUGUGUGUCAUUGGGGUUUUGUAUACAGAUUAUUUCAUCACCUAGGUAAUAAGCAUGGUACCCGAUAGGUAGUUUCUCAUUCCUUACCCUCCUGCCACGCUUCACCCUCAAGUAGGCCCUGGUGUCUGUCAUUCCUUUCUUUGUGUCAUAUGUACUCAGCGUUUAGCUUCUACUUAUAAGUGAGAAAUGUGGCAUUUGGUUUUCUGUUCCUGUGUAAAUUUGCUUAGGGUGAUGGCGUCCAGCUCCAUCCAUGUUGCUGCAAAGGGCAUGAUUUCAUUCUUUUUUAUAGCUGCAUAGUAUUCCAUGGUGUAAGUGUAUCACAUUUUCUUCAUCCAGUCUACCACUGGGCAUUUAGGUUGAUUCCAUAUCUUUGCUAUUGUGAGUGCUGUUGUGAUGAACAUUCACAUGCAUAUGUCUUUAUGGUAGAAUGAUUUAUAUUCAUUUGGGUGUAUAUCCAAUAAUGGGGUUGCUGAGUUGAAUGGUAAUUCUGUUUUAAGUUCUUUGAGGAAUUGCCACACUACUUUCCACAAUGGCUGAACUAAUUUACAUUCCCACUAGGAGUGUAUAAGCGUUCCCUUUUCUCCACAACUUCACCAGCAUCUGUUAUUUUUUUGCAUUGUGGGUUUUUUAAAAUGUGAGUUUUCGGCCAGGCACAAUGGCUUACGCCUGUAAUCCCAGCACUUUGGGAGGCCAAGGUGGGCAGAUCACCUGAGGUCAGGAGUUCGAGAUCAGCCUGGCCGACAUGGCAAAACCCCAUCUCUACUAAAAACACAAAAAGAAUUAGCUGGGUGUCGUGGCACAUGCCUGUAAUCCCAGCUACUAGGGAGGCUGAGGCAGGAGAAUCACUUGAACCCAGGAAGCGGAGGUUGCGGUGAGCUGAGAUCACACCACUGCACUCCAGCCUGGGCGACAGAGUGCUAUGUCUAAAAAAAAAAAAAAAAAAAAGUGAGUUUCCGUAGAGAUGAGAUUGAUACACGCUGGGAAAGAUAAGAGAUUAACAUUUAGAUACACGUCUAUCCUGCCCUCUUCUUCUUUCUGGUUUCGAUGCUUAAAUUAUUUCAACUUUUCAGAGUUUGCAACAUUUCAUUCUGCAUCUGAAACCAUCUCUCUCCUGGGUGUUAAUAGCAUUCCUGCAUCCACCUGGAUUCCAUGCUCCCUACCAAUCCCACUUCUACAGCUUCAGAAUGGCAGGACUCUCUUUUGAUGCAACCUUUAGUUAACAAGAUCUCACCAUCAAGUAGAUUUUUCACAAGGGCUAACAGAUGUUGUAUUUUCUGAGUCCCUUCAUGUCUGAAAAUGUGAGCUCUUGCCUUUAUACCUAAGCUCCAGCUUGGCUGGGUAGAAUCCACUUGGGUCAUAUUCUGUUUUUCUUCUGGACAUUUCUCCUUUGCUCUGGCACUGAUUGCUGCUGGAAAGACAUCUGAAACCCACCUGAUUUUUCUCCUUGUAAGUGAAUUAUUUUUGUCCUGAAUGUGAAAAAAAAAUUUUAGUUUAAUGGUUUAACCAGAAUGUGUCUGAAGGUUUACUGUUAGAGAUUUUUCCUAAUAAGUGGUAUGUGCUUUCAGUCUUGCAGUUUCAGUCUUUAUUCUAAUUCCUAUGAGUUCACUGUUGUUAAAGUAAAUUAAAAUGACGAGAGACCAGCCUGAAGAAUCUCUGACUAGACAAAAGCAGUCAGGCCUCAUAAGUCAUCUUAACUUUGCUUAAUUUGCAAACUUUAGCAAAACUUAACUUUAGCCAUUUCUGGUAAAUGCUUAUGUUAGAAAGAAAACCUCAGCCAAUUAUUGGCAGACAAAAAGUUUCUAAUUAUAUAACUAGGGACUUUCGAAUGGGAUGAAUCAAAUAAGAUAAUUUUGCAACUGUCACCAAUCAAAUAAUUUCUUUAUCUUUUUUCCGUAUUCAACCUAAAAAUAUUUGCCUCUGACGCUAUGUCAUUAGAACAUUGAACAUUUUUUUGGUCUGGCAUACCCCAAUUCAUGAAUUGCUUUUUCCUCAAAUAAACUCUUUAAAAUGUAAUUGUGUCUCCAAUUUUUCUUUUACACUAUUCAAACACAGAUCUCUCAUCCUUUUGGAAUGUAUUCUGGU